rnacentral:lncRNA from 1 species
CAACCCCAUGGCCUCUCAUUUGCGGCUCCUGCCUCCUGUUUCCUGGGCUCCUGCGAAGCAAACCAGGCAACCCGAGUGGAGGCUGGGAGCAGACGCCUCCCCUGUCCCUGUCUCCUCUCCCUCCUCUCUGGCUUCCCCUGUGCCCUUCCUGUGCUGGCCAAGGAUAGAAGUGGGAGGCCCGCCCCCCUUCCCUCUGCUUCCCAGCCUUGCCUUGGGGUCUUGGCCACGCCUUCCUCCCUGUCCAGUUCCCAGGAGCACACGGGAGCCUGGCUGCCGGCCCAAGAGGAAGUGGUCCAGACAAGUAGCUGGGAGGAUGGCGUGACUGCCGAGGACACAGGGCUGUGCCCGGGCACACACACACACCAGCAACCCCAGGCUGGUGAGGCAGCUGCCCCUCCCGGAUGGGCAGGGUCCUACCUAGCCGUCAUCCCUACCCCCACACUCCCGACAGAACGUGCCAGCAACACCCUCUCCCUGUCUCCACCCCUCCCCCGCCAUCUCCUCCAGUCCCACCAGUGGCACUGCCCAUGUGGCCCCCACUGCCACCCUAAGCAUCGCCCUGUGUGUGGCCUGGCUCUCCAGAUGUCAUCACGUCCCCAUUGGCCUGGCCCGCGGGCACAGGCGGCCCCAGCCCCCAGACGCACGGCUCCCCUAGCAGGACUCCAGUCAUCACAGUGUAGCCACACAGCAGCUGGCUCCUCCAGCCACAGUCAGAUGAUUCACACGCUGAGACUCAUACCUGCCGUAUGGGGCUGGCGUGGGAACCUGGGCAUCAGUGUGCGGGCACUGCUGAGCCUGGAGACACCUCCAUCCAAGCCCCUGCGGGACCCCUGGGAACAGAGCCCUGCAGGGUCUUCCUGCUCCCUCAGAGCCGCACUAAGAGCCUGCGUCUCCCUCUGUGCCUUGUGGGAAGUUCGUUCUCUCCCCAUGAACUUGCGCAUCCAGCCAGGGCAGCUACUGGCCACACGGGACCCCAGGGCACUUGAAAUGUGGCUGGCGCAAAUGCAGUUGUGGGAAAGGCUUAAGUGA